AGCGAACGCUGGCGGCAGGCUUAACACAUACAAGUCGAGCGGGCAUCUUCGGAUGUCAGCGGCAGACGGGUGAGUAACACGUGGGAACGUACCCUUCGGUUCGGAACAACUCUGGGAAACUGGAGCUAAUACCGGAUACGCCCUUAUGGGGAAAGGUUUACUGCCGAAGGAUCGGCCCGCGUCUGAUUAGCUAGUUGGUGGGGUAACGGCCUACCAAGGCGACGAUCAGUAGCUGGUCUGAGAGGAUGAUCAGCCACACUGGGACUGAGACACGGCCCAGACUCCUACGGGAGGCAGCAGUGGGGAAUAUUGGACAAUGGGCGCAAGCCUGAUCCAGCCAUGCCGCGUGAGUGAUGAAGGCCUUAGGGUUGUAAAGCUCUUUUGUCCGGGACGAUAAUGACGGUACCGGAAGAAUAAGCCCCGGCUAACUUCGUG
rnacentral:rRNA from 1 species